GAUGCUACUGCUGCGCACGCUUCGGUCAUCGCCCCUGAAGUGGAAAAAGGUGCAGUAGCGCGCCUCAGAAAGUACGUUUCAUAUUCGGGUAGCGUGUUCACGGGGUCUGGAUCCGAACGAUAUCCUUGGAAGCAACGUCCUUGGAUGUUGGCACGGAACCCGUGUCAGCAUGUAAUGGAGCGUGCCCUGUGACUCGGGCGUGCACGCCACACUCUGGAUCGCUUCCCUCGGUAAUCAGCACCAGCAUUUUCGGAUUUUUUCUGUGACUGCUUUCUUUUCCUCUAGAACAUCUGCGGCUUUAAAGUCCGUCGGUCAAUCGUGUCUAUCAAGCUCCGUUUUCAGCAGUCGAAUGGUGUUGGUGGUAGCGUUGGCAUUCCGAUAUCGACGCUUCUGGCUGUUGUCAACAUUGUUCAUGUCCAAGCAAACGUUGCCGUCUACGCUUCGCUUGCCGUGCUCGUGUUCUUUGGAUGAGGCCUCGAUGCGCCCGUCGUAGCGAUAACGUUUCGCUGUCGUCAUGUGUUAGGGAAUGUGUACCGUAUCGCCUGCACCUGCCCCCGCUCAUCCCGCUAGAACUCGGAGGGCGAUACUUUGGCGCGUGCACACUCGGUUCAUCGCUCGGUUCACGUCCUCGACGAGCGAAGAAGGCUCUUCCGUAGACGCGUGCCUCCGUUGCUGUGCCCGGUUCUAGACCCUAUGAUCGUGAGCUGCUUCUGGGGGAACUCCGCCCGGCGAGGACUUCAUCCGAAGCACACGUAAGCGCACAACGUUGCAUCCGAUAAAGGAUUGGCGAAGCACGAUGCUGUCCAUGAUGAAACAAGUGCCGUAGGAAAAAAAUUCAUGAUGGAGAACAAGUCGAGAAAUUUCGAUCCGUCUCCGCGUCCUUUUGUGCGAGUAUACGAUACACUCUAGAGUGAGACAACGUUACUGCGACUUGGCAAGUCCGAUUCCAGGACCCUUGUCCACGCAGACAGAAGAGGCGGGAUCCUUCCAGGGCAUCUACCCUGGGUGUUACCAUGCUGACGUAGAGUGCGGUGUUGUCGAUCGCACCAAAGAAAGUGGGAUUUGUUUUCCUAACGGAAUCGAUGAUUCGAGGUAGAAUAGUCAGUGAACUUCCGGAAUGAGCUUUUGAACAAGUCGUCGACGGACGUCGUCGACACUUUUCCGCAUCCGUCAACAGAUGCGGAUCGCUGCGCGCACGAGUUGCCUCGAAACUGAAACUCGAAAACGUGAAAACUUCGUGAUUCGUGCGUGCUGCACGUAAGCAAAUGAGAAGUCUGGAAGCCUAUAGGCAUGACUCCGAUAAUGAGAUUGGUUAUUUUCCGAACCCCUGUUCGACCGCGUCGCGAAUCAUCUUGAUUCCGGUGAUAUAACGACUCCCAGACGCGAAACAUCGAUGGAGCUACUCCGAACGAACAUACGGUCAGGGAUCCUGAAGCAAUUCAUGACCCUGUAAGCUCUCACCGCUGCGUUUCGAAUGCCGAUGCCGUACAUCUGAUAAGAUUCGUAAAAAAUCGAGAAACAGUCACAUGGC